rnacentral:rRNA from 1 species
AGAGUUUGAUCAUGGCUCAGGACGAACGCUGGCGGCGUGCUUAACACAUGCAAGUCGAACGGAAGUUACGAGGAAGCCUAGCGAAUUGUAACUUUAGUGGCGGACGGGUGAGUAACGCGUGGAUAACCUGCCUACAUGACCGGGACAACACCGGGAAACUGGUGCUAAUACCGGAUACGCUCACGAAUGCACAUGCAUAUGUGAGGAAAGGAGCAAUCCGCAGGUAGAUGGGUCCGCGUCCCAUUAGCUGGUUGGGGGUGUAAAAGACCACCAAGGCGACGAUGGGUAGCCGGCCUGAGAGGGUGGACGGCCACACUGGAACUGAGACACGGUCCAGACUCCUACGGGAGGCAGCAGUGGGGAAUCUUCCGCAAUGGGCGCAAGCCUGACGGAGCAACGCCGCGUGAGUGAAGAAGGCUUUCGGGUUGUAAAACUCUGUCUUCAGGGAAGAAAGAAAUGACGGUACCUGAGGAGGAAGCCCCGGCUAACUACGUGCCAGCAGCCGCGGUAAAACGUAGGGGGCGAGCGUUGUCCGGAAUUACUGGGCGUAAAGGGCGCGUAGGCGGUUUCUUAAGUCAGAGGUGAAAACUGUGGGCUCAACCCACAGCCUGCCUUUGAAACUGGGAGACUUGAGGGCAGGAGAGGGGAGUGGAAUUCCCAGUGUAGCGGUGAAAUGCGUAGAUAUUGGGAGGAACACCAGUGGCGAAGGCGGCUCUCUGGCCUGUUUCUGACGCUGAGGCGCGAAAGCGUGGGGAGCAAACGGGAUUAGAUACCCCGGUAGUCCACGCCGUAAACGAUGGGUGCUAGGUGUAGGAGGUAUCGACCCCUUCUGUGCCGUAGUUAACACAAUUAAGCACCCCGCCUGGGGGAGUACGGCCGCAAGGUUGAAACUCAAAGGAAUUGACGGAA